rnacentral:rRNA from 1 species
AUACGUAGGGGGCAAGCGUUAUCCGGAUUUACUGGGUGUAAAGGGAGCGUAGACGGAAUGGCAAGUCUGAUGUGAAAGGCCGGGGCUCAACCCCGGGACUGCAUUGGAAACUGUCAGGCUAGAGUGCAGGAGGGGUAAGCGGAAUUCCUAGUGUAGCGGUGAAAUGCGUAGAUAUUAGGAGGAAAACCGGGGGCGAAGGCGGCUUUCUGGACUGGAACUGACGUUUAGGCUCGAAAGCGGGGGGAGCAAAAAAGAUUAAAUACCCUGGUAGUCCAACGCGGUAACGGAGAAAUCCUAGUUGUUGGGUUCAAUAAGGAUUUCGGUGCGGCAGUAACGCAAUAAGUAUUCCACCUGGGGAGUACGUUCGCAAGAAUGAAACUUAAAGGAAUUGACGGGG